AUUGAACGCUGGCGGCAUGCCUUACACAUGCAAGUCGAACGGUAGAAGGAGCAAUCCUUCGAGAGUGGCGAACGGGUGAGUAAUACAUCGGAACGUACCUGGUAGUGGGGGAUAGCCCGGCGAAAGCCGGAUUAAUACCGCAUAAGACCUGAGGGUGAAAGCGGGGGACCGUAAGGCCUCGCGCUACCGGAGCGGCCGAUGUCAGAUUAGCUAGUUGGUGGGGUAAAAGCCUACCAAGGCGACGAUCUGUAGCUGGUCUGAGAGGACGACCAGCCACACUGGGACUGAGACACGGCCCAGACUCCUACGGGAGGCAGCAGUGGGGAAUUUUGGACAAUGGGCGCAAGCCUGAUCCAGCCAUGCCGCGUGCGGGAAGAAGGCCUGGUUGUAACGACUUUGUCGGGUAGAAGUACUGUCUGCGUAUACCGGACGGGACGUGACGGUACCGGAACGGAA
rnacentral:rRNA from 1 species